AUGAACGCUGGCGGCGUGCCUAAUACAUGCAAGUCGAGCGAACGGACGAGAAGCUUGCUUCUCUGAUGUUAGCGGCGGACGGGUGAGUAACACGUGGAUAACCUACCUAUAAGACUGGGAUAACUUCGGGAAACCGGAGCUAUUACCGGAUAAUAUUUUGAACCGCAUGGUUCAAAAGUGAAAGACGGUCUUGCUGUCACUUAUAGAUGGAUCCGCGCUGCAUUAGCUAGUUGGUAAGGUAACGGCUUACCAAGGCAACGAUGCAUAGCCGACCUGAGAGGGUGAUCGGCCACACUGGAACUGAGACACGGUCCAGACUCCUACGGGAGGCAGCAGUAGGGAAUCUUCCGCAAUGGGCGAAAGCCUGACGGAGCAACGCCGCGUGAGUGAUGAAGGUCUUCGGAUCGUAAAACUCUGUUAUUAGGGAAGAACAUAUGUGUAAGUAACUGUGCACAUCUUGACGGUACCUAAUCAGAAAGCCACGGCUAACUACGUG
rnacentral:rRNA from 1 species